UGGGGAAUAUUGGACAAUGGGGGGAACCCUGAUCCAGCAAUGUCGCGUGUGUGAAGAAGGCCUGAGGGUUGUAAAGCACUUUCAGAGGGGAGGAGGACUAUUAGGUUAAGAGCUAGAUAGUUAGACGUUACCCUCAGAAGAAGCCCCGGCUAACUCCGUGCCAGCAGCCGCGGUAAUACGGAGGGGGCUAGCGUUGUUCGGAAUUACUGGGCGUAAAGGGCGUGUAGGCGGCCUGCCAAGUCAGAUGUGAAAGCCCCGGGCUUAACCUGGGAACUGCAUUUGAGACUGGCCGGCUAGAGGUUGGAAGAGGAGAGUGGAAUUCCCAGUGUAGAGGUGAAAUUCGUAGAUAUUGGGAAGAACACCAGUGGCGAAGGCGGCUCUCUGGUCCACACCUGACGCUGAGGCGCGAAAGCGUGGGGAGCAAACAGGAUUAGAUACCCCGGUAGUCCCUGAGCGGGCUGGCAAGGCGCAU
rnacentral:rRNA from 1 species